GAUGAACGCCGGCGGUGUGCCUAAUACAUGCAAGUCGUACGCACUGGCCCAACUGAUUGAUGGUGCUUGCACCUGAUUGACGAUGGAUCACCAGUGAGUGGCGGACGGGUGAGUAACACGUAGGCAACCUGCCCCGGAGCGGGGGAUAACAUUUGGAAACAGAUGCUAAUACCGCAUAACAACAAAAGUCACAUGGCUUUUGUUUGAAAGAUGGCUUUGGCUAUCACUCUGGGAUGGACCUGCGGUGCAUUAGCUAGUUGGUAAGGCAACGGCUUACCAAGGCGAUGAUGCAUAGCCGAGUUGAGAGACUGAUCGGCCACAAUGGAACUGAGACACGGUCCAUACUCCUACGGGAGGCAGCAGUAGGGAAUCUUCCACAAUGGGCGCAAGCCUGAUGGAGCAACACCGCGUGAGUGAAGAAGGGUUUCGGCUCGUAAAGCUCUGUUGUUGGAGAAGAACGUGCGUGAGAGUAACUGUUCACGCAGUGACGGUAUCCAACCAGAAAGUCACGGCUAACUACGCGCCAGCAGCCGCGGUAAUACGUAGGUGGCAAGCGUUAUCCGGAUUUAUUGGGCGUAAAGCGAGCGCAGGCGGUUGCUUAGGUCUGAUGUGAAAGCCUUCGGCUUAACCGAAGAAGUGCAUCGGA
rnacentral:rRNA from 1 species